rnacentral:lncRNA from 1 species
GAUCCUCUUUCUACAGCCCUGGAAAGGGAAGAUGAGGAUACAACUAUACCAACAGCUGUGGGGUGUGGGGAGAAGCUGGAGUGUCUUGGAGAAGAUCCAUGGGUAAGCAAGGCUCCAAGUGGAGAUGUAAGAACUCUCCGCUCCUGCUCCAGCACCACGUCUGCCUGCACACAGCCAUGUCACACCAUGAUGAUAAUGGACUAAACCACUGAAAAUAAUUCUAGAACCCUGACAACAUGGAGUUGCUCCUUAACUAAAAGAGCAGUGACAAGUGGGGGACAGAAUGUCGGGUGCCAUGACAGAGUCAACAGGAAACAAGAAAGCUGAUUAGCUAGAAGUGGUCUGGAGUGUUUGCAAAGAGGUUUGUCCACGGAUUAUGUGUUAUAUGAUGGGAUUUUCCCUUCAAUACAUCACAUCUCCAGAUACAGCACUGAUUAGAAGUGAUGGCAAACAACCUUGUCCUUGACCUUGGGGAAAAGGCAUUAUAGAUGCCACUUUUAGGUGUGAUGUCACCAGCAUAUUUUCUUACAGUUUGACGGGAGUGCCUUCUACUCCUGGUUUGUCACAGACACUCCUUGAAUUCUGCCAGGUGCUUUUCUUCAUUUAUUGAGGUGACUGUAUGGGUUUCUUCCAGAUGGAGAAUCACAUGGAUGGCUUUCAAACACUAAGUCAUAAGAAUAUUUGCUACAAACUCCCCCUUGACUCUCAAAAGCAGCUUUUCUUUUCCCAACAAAUGGCACAGUUGUCCUUUCCAGAUUCUUCUGUUUUACAUAAUGACCGGAGUUCCAUGAACUAGGCCAAUCGGGAUUUGCUAUUCUGGGUCCACUGCCAGCAGAGGAGUCAGAGGCCUUGCUGGCAUUUGGGAGUGGACUAGAAAUGUAGGACUUUAAAGGACCUCUUUGCAAAUGAACUGCAGAAAGCAGCAAGUCAUAAAUCCUCCCAGGACUCAGCUCUUCUUGGACAGCUUUAAAUCCCUAGGAAAAUCUCAGCAUUUGGCCCCUGGAGAGGCUAUUUAUCUUUUUCUUGCCCCAUUGACUUUUACAUUGAACACUGUAGCAUCUGAUCUUCCACAAAAUGAAAGUUCCUGGAGGUUUAAAGCUAAA